UCCCGUCCAGCUGUGUCAGAGGACAAGAUCACCAUUCUCAAAUAGUCUUUGCUGCUCUGAAGGAGGGCAGUUUGUGAGAGUCCUGCCUAAUAGGCUUCUGACAGGGCCAGCUGGUUAUUCUUCCUGCAGCAAGUGAUAGUGAUAUCUCAGUAGAAGUUUAGACACAUAGAACAUGUUCCAGGUGAUUACUGGGAUAAAUCUCUACAUAUUCUCUGCACAGAUUUGAUGCUUAGACUAGUAAGACUGCCAGACUCCCAGGGAAAAGGUCUAUGUCCUCCACAUGCACUAAAGGAAUUAGGAGUCUUGUGUUGUUCUGGUAGUGAUGGAAGGAAAAAAAAAAGUGCUCAACCUUGCCCUUUCCCCUUUUUAGUCUGAAUCAACACAAGAAAAAACUCACUUCACUGUACUGCAGGACCAGCAAAUCUGAUCCACAUGCAACUGGUGUGGAAGCCUGACACUGUCAAAAUUUGUAAUCAUGGGCUCUCUGCCAUCACCCCAGCUGGCAAAAAUGGGACACGGUUCCACUGCAUGAAUGGAAGGUCAGACGGUGCUCUGCUGUCACACAGGAGGAGCCUUUCUGGGCUGACUUUCCUGGAAGUUACUAAUGAUGUAUUUUGACCUCUCUGUUUUAGAGAUACCUUGCAGUCAGCGAUACUUAGAGAGUGGCACUCUUUGAAACUGACACGGGCUUCAUCUGCUUGUGAAACGUUGCAACAAAAGGAUACCUCCUGUAAAAUUUUAUUUGUACCCUCAGUGGAUCAUUAGGAAAAUUCCCUUAAUAAAGGAUGCUCCUGAAUCUUA